UGCCCAGACUCCUACGGGAGGCAGCAGUGGGGGAUAUUGCACAAUGGGGGGAACCCUGAUGCAGCGACGCCGCGUGAACGAAGAAAUAUUUCGGUAUGUAAAGUUCUAUCAGCAGGGAAGAAAAUGACAGUACCUGACCAAGAAGCCCCGGCUAACUACGUGCCAGCAGCCGCGGUAAUACGUAGGGGGCGAGCGUUAUCCGGAAUUACUGGGUGUAAAGGGAGCGUAGGCGGGGAUGCAAGUUGGGUGUCAAAACUACCGGCUCAACUGGUAGUCGCACUCAAAACUGCAGCUCUUGAGUGAAGUAGAGGCAGGCGGAAUUCCUAGUGUAGCGGUGAAAUGCGUAGAUAUUAGGAGGAACACCAGUGGCGAAGGCGGCCUGCUGGGCUUUUACUGACGCUGAGGCUCGAAAGUGUGGGGAGCAAACAGGAUUAGAUACCCCUGUA
rnacentral:rRNA from 1 species